rnacentral:rRNA from 1 species
UGGGGAAUAUUGCACAAUGGGCGCAAGCCUGAUGCAGCCAUGCCGCGUGUGUGAAGAAGGCCUUCGGGUUGUAAAGCACUUUCAGCGAGGAGGAAGGUGGUGGACUUAAUACGUUCAUCAAUUGACGUUACUCGCAGAAGAAGCACCGGCUAACUCCGUGCCAGCAGCCGCGGUAAUACGGAGGGUGCAAGCGUUAAUCGGAAUUACUGGGCGUAAAGCGCACGCAGGCGGUUUGUUAAGUCAGAUGUGAAAUCCCCGGGCUCAACCUGGGAACUGCAUUUGAAACUGGCAAGCUAGAGUCUCGUAGAGGGGGGUAGAAUUCCAGGUGUAGCGGUGAAAUGCGUAGAGAUCUGGAGGAAUACCGGUGGCGAAGGCGGCCCCCUGGACGAAGACCGACGCUCAGGUGCGAAAGCGUGGGGAGCAAACAGGAUUAGAUACCCCUGGUAGGUCCACGCUGUAAACGAUGUCGAUUUGGAGGUUGUGCCCUUGAGGCGUGGCUUCCGGAGCUAACGCGUUAAAUCGACCGCC